AAAAAAGCAGGGUCUUGUUGCCUUUUGUAAACUAGAUUCUUGUAAACUUCAGGAAAAUUACCAGUGCAUUGUGCUUGGGUGAAUCUCUGGAUUUUAUUGGUGUCGGAAGGUUCAGUAAAUGAUGCUACAUUU